GACGAACGCUGGCGGCGUGCUUAACACAUGCAAGUCGAACGGUAAGGCCCUUCGGGUACGACGAGUGGCGAACGGGUGAGUAACACGUGGUGAUCUGCCCUGCACUUUGGGAUAAGCCUGGGAAACUGGGUCUAAUACCGAAUAGGACCAUGGACUUCACGGUUUGUGGUGGAAAGCUUUUGCGGUGUGGGAUGGGCCCGCGGCCUAUCAGCUUGUUGGUGGGGUAAUGGCCUACCAAGGCGACGACGGGUAGCCGGCCUGAGAGGGUGACCGGCCACACUGGGACUGAGAUACGGCCCAGACUCCUACGGGAGGCAGCAGUGGGGAAUAUUGCACAAUGGGCGCAAGCCUGAUGCAGCGACGCCGCGUGAGGGAUGACGGCC
rnacentral:rRNA from 1 species